rnacentral:rRNA from 1 species
UACGAAGGGGGCGAGCGUUAUUCGGAUUUACUGGGCGUAAAGGGCGCGCAGGCGGCUAUCCAAGUCAGGCGUGAAAGCCCCGGGCUUAACCUGGGAGGUGCGUCUGGGACUGGGUGGCUAGAGUUCGGGAGAGGAGAGUGGAAUUCCCAGUGUAGAGGUGAAAUUCGUAGAUAUUGGGAAGAACACCGGUGGCGAAGGCGGCUCUCUGGACCGAGACUGACGCUGAGGCGCGAAAGCGUGGGGAGCAAACAGG